CAAUAGCGUAUAUUUAAGUUGCUGCAGUUAAAAAGCUCGUAGUUGGGUUUCGGGUGGGAAUGGCCGGUCCGCCGUUUCGGUGUGCACUUGCUACGCCCACCUUGCUGCCGGGGACGUGCUCUUGAGUUCACGCUCGGGACACGGAGUCGGCGAGGUUACUUUGAGUAAAUUAGAGUGUUCAAAGCAGGCCUACGCUCUGAAUACAUUAGCAUGGAAUAACACGAUAGGACUCUGGCCUAUCUUGUUGGUCUGUAGGACCGGAGUAAUGAUUAAGAGGGACAGUCGGGGGCAUUCGUAUUUCAUUGUCAGAGGUGAAAUUCUUGGAUUUAUGAAAGACGAACUACUGCGAAAGCAUUUGCCAAGGAUGUUUUCAUUAA
rnacentral:rRNA from 1 species